AUCUUCCACAAUGGACGAAAGUCUGAUGGAGCAACGCCGCGUGAGUGAAGAAGGGUUUCGGCUCGUAAAACUCUGUUGUUAAAGAAGAACAUCUGUGAGAGUAACUGUUCAGGUAUUGACGGUAUUUAACCAGAAAGCCACGGCUAACUACGUGCCAGCAGCCGCGGUAAUACGUAGGUGGCAAGCGUUGUCCGGAUUUAUUGGGCGUAAAGCGAGCGCAGGCGGUUUUUUAAGUCUGAUGUGAAAGCCUUGGGCUCAACCGAAGAAGUGCAUCGGAAACUGGGAAACUUGAGUGCAGAAGAGGACAGUGGAAUUCCAUGUGUAGCGGUGAAAUGCGUAGAUAUAUGGAAGAACACCCGUGGCGAAGGCGGCUGUCUGGUCCGUAACUGACGCUGAGGCUCGAAAGUAUGGGUAGCAAACAGGAUUAGAUACCCUGGUAGUCCAUACCGUAAACGAUGAAUGCUAAGUGUUGGAGGGUUUCCGCCCUUCAGUGUUGCAGCUAACGCAUUAAGCAUUCCGCCUGGGGAGUACGGCCGCAAGGCUGAAACUCAAAGGAAUUGACGGGGGCCCGCACAAGCGGUGGAGCAUGUGGUUUAAUUAGAAGCUACGCGAAGAACCUU
rnacentral:rRNA from 2 species